GGUUUUUAGGCAUUAUUAAAAAUCUGUUCUGCUCAAUGUAUUUAAAUAGCCGCGGUAUUUUGACUGUGCAAAGGUAGCAUAAUAAUUAGUCUUAUAAUUUAAGACUGGAAUGAAAGAAUAUACUAAACAUUUGAGUUUCAAAUGUAAUUCAAGAAUUUUAUUUUUUAGUAAGAAAGCUAAAAUAAAACUAAAAGACAAGAAGACCCUAUAAAUCUUAACAUAUAAUGGAGUAGGAUUUUAUUUUAUGUUUUACUGGGGCGGUAGCUGAAGAAAACGUUCUUAAAAUUCUUAGAAAGUUUUUAUAUCUGAAAUUUUCAAAAGUAAAAUAAGAUACUUUAGGGAUAACAGCAUAAUUUAUUUAGAGAGUUCUUAUUGACAAAUAAGAUUGUGACCUCGAUGUUGAAUUAAAUAACCUUUAUAGUGCAGAAGCUAUAUUAAGGAGGUCUGUUCGACCUUUAAUGAUUUCCA
rnacentral:rRNA from 1 species